rnacentral:rRNA from 1 species
UGGUAUCAUUGGUUUCUCCUUUCUGACGAACCAUGAUGUCAUUAAUUUGGUGUUAUGGGAAGUUAGGACUGUUACUUUGAAAAAAUUAGAGUCGUUUAAAGCAGGCUUUGGCUUGAAUACAUUAGCAUGGAAUAAUGAAAUAGGACGUUCGAACCUAUUUUGUUGGUUUCUAGGAUCAACGUAAUGAUUAAUAGGGAUAGUUGGGGGCAUUAGUAUUCAAUUGUCAGAGGUGAAAUUCUUGGAUUUAUUGAAGACUAACUACUGCGAAAGCAUUUGCCAAGGAUGUUUUCAUUAAUCAAGAACGAAAGUUAGGGGAUCGAAGACGAUCAGAUACCGUCGUAGUCUUAACCAUAAACUAUGCCGACUAGGGAUCGGAUGAUGUUAAUUUUUUAAUGACUCAUUCGGCGCCUUACG